rnacentral:lncRNA from 1 species
CCCAUGUGCACAUAUUUAGAAAGAAUUCCUCACAAAUCACUCAGCUGAAAGUGAUUUCCCCCGAGGAGGGAUGAGAGAACAAACACGUGCCAGCUGUGAGCCGCAGUGUUCACUGCACUCCUGGAAGGUACUCGGGUACCACGGAGCUGUGAGCAGCAGAGGAGUCGAGGUGGGACACAAUUAUCCAUCUACAUUAAAUUAAUUUUCACUCUGUUUUCCUAUCAGGCUCACUACUGCAAAAACAGAAGGGAUGAGGUUCCAUGGAGGUGGUUUACAAGGUGUGUUUGAAGCCUGGGACCAAUAUCCAUAUCACUCCUAUAGCUCCAGAGCUGAGAAACUGCUGUGGAGGGCAGCACACCUCUCCCUCAGACGGCAGAGCACUGGGGCGUUCCCAUCCCCAACCAGCCACCUGAACAGCUCCACACAAUCACAGAGUCGGCUGAGGUGGAAGAAACCCACAAGGAUCAUCGAGCCCAACUCCUGGCCCUGCACAGAACCAUCCCCAAGAGUGACACCAUGUGCCUGGGAUUGUUGUCCAAACACUCUGGCAGCCUUGGGGCUGUGACCAUUCCCUGGGGACCCUGUUCCAGUGCCCCAACACUCCCUGGGUGAAGAACUUCUUUCCAGCAUCCACCUAAACCUCCCCUGACACAGCCCCAGCCAUUCCCUCGAGUCCUGUCACUGUCACCACAGAGACGAGAUCAGUGUCUGCCCCUCCUCUUCCCCUCACAAGGAGGUUGUAGACUGUGAGGAGUGUCUCCUCAGUCUCCUCCUGUCCAGCUGAACAGACCAAGUGCCCUCACCUGCUCCUCAUACACCUUCCCCCAAGGCCCUUCACCAUCCUAAAGGACACAAAGCACAUCGGACACAUGACUCAGGACACUCAGGAGAGAGGAGCAGCUCCUCUGAAAUCAGUGACAUGAAGUCAGUGAGAGACACAAACCAGAGCCCCUGCGUGCUGAUAGAAGCAGCAGAAAUUCCUAAAUUAUGUUUUUUAAAGCCCAACAAAUAUUUUGUCUGCAUUUCAUUUCACACAGGAGCACUGAAUAAACCUGAUUUUCAAUACAGAGCAGAAACAGCCUCAGUCGUGCUACAAGGGGAUGAAAUGGCUUUGUUGUUGUCCCCAGGAUUCCUUUGUUCCAGUAAGGAAGGAACAGC